AUUGAACGCUGGCGGAAUGCUUUACACAUGCAAGUCGAACGGCAGCACGGACUUCGGUCUGGUGGCGAGUGGCGAACGGGUGAGUAAUAUAUCGGAACGUGCCCAGUCGUGGGGGAUAACGUAGUGAAAAUUACGCUAAUACCGCAUACGAUCUAAGGAUGAAAGCGGGGGAUCGCAAGACCUCGCGCGAUUGGAGCGGCCGAUAUCAGAUUAGGUAGUUGGUGAGGUAAAGGCUCACCAAGCCAACGAUCUGUAGCUGGUCUGAGAGGACGACCAGCCACACUGGGACUGAGACACGGCCCAGACUCCUACGGGAGGCAGCAGUGGGGAAUUUUGGACAAUGGGCGCAAGCCUGAUCCAGCAAUGCCGCGUGCAGGACGAAGGCCUUCGGGUUGUAAACUGCUUUUGUACGGAGCGAAAAGGCUACUCUCUAAUACAGGGAGUUUAUGACGGUACCGUAAGAAUAAGCACCGGCUAACUACGUG
rnacentral:rRNA from 1 species